GGCACUGCUGUCUCCUCCUCCACCAGCUGCAUUUAAAGGAAGAAAGCAACUAUGACUGCAUUCUUGAAGGGUGUGAUCCUGCAAGCAAGCGAGAGCUCUCCCUUGUAAGGACUGAAACUCUUCAAGAAUAGCAGCCCCCGUGAGAUCAUGAGAUCUCUUGUUGGAGAGGCGGUCACUACUAGGGAAGGUUUUUUCCCACCUGAAAGCAGAAUCCCAGAAUACACUCCCCUGUUCACAAAGCUACAAAGAAAAGCUACAGAAGUGUCUUAAUGAUCAGGAAAAUAAAGAUGUUACUCAUACUUGAGUUCUCCCAUGCUAUGCGUCCACCCAACAAAUGGAUCUCCUGCCAUGGGUUUGUUGAGCUGUUCUGUGUUAAGACACCCAAAACUCACUGCACAAAGAGCGAGGUACCUGCUGACCUGCCGAGCAACAAAAGGAUGCAUAUGGAAAGAAAAACUUGUUCUGAUGUUGAUUCUUCUGUACCUGCCUUGAAGACUGUGAGAACAAAUCAGUCAUAGAUUGCUGCCUGAUAGUCAUGAGCAAAUUUUAAUUCCAGCAUGCAGGCACUCCCUUUGGAAGGGAAAGAUAGACUCAAUUGCACAUAGAGAGCCAGAACUGCAACCUUGCAAAAAUCGGAGACUUUGUUUCGAGAGCCAAACAAAAUUGAAUAUGUUCCCCCCCCCAACAUACACACACUAUCAUCAAAUAUUAUCAAUUUAAUUGCUCAGCUUCUGCAGCUGUGAGCACAAUAAAUUAGCUUGGCUGGAAUGGAAUUCGUAAUUCUCUGAGAUACGUUCGAAAAUAAAAUACUGAGCAAAAUGCUCAGCUAAUGAGAAUCAGCAUAGUUCCACUAACCUCAGAUAAGCUACUGAGCAAGUAGGAAUCGUUCAAGUUCCUCUGACUUAGUUGGAAUGCCUUCACUCAGAUCAGCAGAAGAAUAUAAAUUUACUCCAGGAAUUUGUGUUUCUGUGCCUUUUAGGGAUCUGAUAUAAAAACCUGUGGUUGGAAUUAUUCAGCACAAUGUGAUAUACUGUAGCAGAUCUUCAUCAAACAUCAGUGGCUUUUGUAGCACUGGGGAACUCACUGUCACAGGACAUUGCAAAUGCUCAAAAUCUGCAUUGUUUAGGGGACUACUGGAGAAGAUAAUAGAGAAGAAAGCAAUUUUAUGUUGCUAAAUACUAAGGACAUGAUCUCUGGCUCAGAAAUUCUUGAUCUGCAAAUUGCUGGCAUAUUUGGGAAGUACCGUCAUGCUCUUGCCCUUUCCUUAUAUUCUUCAUGCAUUUGCUUUCAGCCAUUCUUGAAGCAGUAUCCAAAGCUGGGGGAGAUCUUCUGCUCUGGCCAAGUAUCACUGUUUUUAUGUUCCUCAAAAGUGGAUUAUGAAACACAACAUUUUUUCUUCCUUGUUAGAGCUUUCGUCUCCUCUUCCCCCACUCUAACACACAUUUUCCCCUUUAUUUUGAGCUGAUAAAUUGAAAAAGGCAACUAAGACAAUGAAUAGAAGAUCAGAAAUGCAACAUGCUCAUUUUCAGCUAUUGAAGGAAUACGAUAACAUUUUUACCCUGUGUGAAUUUCCUGCUCUACACGAUACUUUUAGCUCACAAAAUUGCAGUAAUGGGAAUUUUAUGAAUCAAGUAGAGUAUUCUUGUCUUCUGUGCUUUCGUGAAAGCAUUAUUCCUAAAGAUGAAAUCUACAUUAUCUAUACCUAUUAUGGAGAUGCACACACGUUAUAUAUAUGUGUGCACAUGUAUGCAUACAUAUGUAAAAAGAAAAAUGAAUGAUUUGUUUUUUUCGGUUAGCAAUGAGUGCUUGCACAAAGCAGAUAAAAAUGAUAACACCUUUCACUUGUUUUGCUCUGUUAACGCUGAUUUCCUUAGGUGCAAAGCCAUGGAGAAUUGGUCUCUUUGCAUUUAAUUCUCUGUGUCUUCCAACUACUGCCAUGUGGCCUAUUUGAGCAAAAGUUUAGCAUUCUUGAAGGGUUAUGUAAAUGUAUACAUUAGUGAAUAAACAGAUGGUCUUUAAUG
ensembl:lncRNA